rnacentral:rRNA from 1 species
CCUACGGGGGGCUGCAGUGGGGAAUAUUGGACAAUGGGCGAAAGCCUGAUCCAGCCAUGCCGCGUGUGUGAAGAAGGCCUUCGGGUUGUAAAGCACUUUCAGUGGGGAAGAAAGCCUUGGGGCUAAUACCCUCGAGGAAGGACAUCACCCACAGAAGAAGCACCGGCUAACUCCGUGCCAGCAGCCGCGGUAAUACGGAGGGUGCGAGCGUUAAUCGGAAUUACUGGGCGUAAAGCGCGCGUAGGCGGUCUGAUAAGCCGGUUGUGAAAGCCCCGGGCUCAACCUGGGAACGGCAUCCGGAACGGUCAGGCUAGAGUGCAGGAGAGGAAGGUAGAAUUCCCGGUGUAGCGGUGAAAUGCGUAGAGAUCGGGAGGAAUACCAGUGGCGAAGGCGGCCUUCUGGACUGACACUGACGCUGAGGUGCGAAAGCGUGGGUAGCAAACAGGAUUAGAUACCCCUGUAGUC